AGUCGAGGGGUAUAUGUCUUCGGAUAUAGAGACCGGCGCACGGGUGCGUAACGCGUAUGCAAUCUGCCUUUUACAGAGGGAUAGCCCAGAGAAAUUUGGAUUAAUACCUCAUAGUAUUAUUGAGUGGCAUCACUUAAUAAUUAAAGUCACAACGGUGAAAGAUGAGCAUGCGUCCCAUUAGCUAGUUGGUAAGGUAACGGCUUACCAAGGCAACGAUGGGUAGGGGUCCUGAGAGGGAGAUCCCCCACACUGGUACUGAGACACGGACCAGACUCCUACGGGAGGCAGCAGUGAGGAAUAUUGGACAAUGGGCGCAAGCCUGAUCCAGCCAUGCCGCGUGCAGGAUGACGGUCCUAUGGAUUGUAAACUGCUUUUGUACGAGAAGAAACACUGCUUCGUGAAGCAGCUUGACGGUAUCGUAAGAAUAAGGAUCGGCUAACUCCGUGCCAGCAGCCGCGGUAAUACGGAGGAUCCAAGCGUUAUCCGGAAUCAUUGGGUUUAAAGGGUCCGUAGGCGGUUUAGUAAGUCAGUGGUGAAAGCCCAUCGCUCAACGGUGGAACGGCCAUUGAUACUGCUGAACUUGAAUUAUUAGGAAGUAACUAGAAUAUGUAGUGUAGCGGUGAAAUGCUUAGAGAUUACAUGGAAUACCAAUUGCGAAGGCAGGUUACUACUAAUUGAUUGACGCUGAUGGACGAAAGCGUGUGGAGCGAACAGGAUUAGAUACCCUGGUAGUCCACGCCGUAGACGAUGGAUACUAGCUGUUGGGCGCAAGUUCAGUGGCUAAGCGAAAGUGAUAAGUAUCCCACCUGGGGAGUACGUUCGCAAGAAUGAAACUCAAAGGAAUUGACGGGGGCCCGCACAAGCGGUGGAGCAUGUGGUUUAAUUCGAUGAUACGCGAGGAACCUUACCAAGGCUUAAAUGUAGAUUGACC
rnacentral:rRNA from 1 species